AUUGAACGCUGGCGGCACGCCUAACACAUGCAAGUCGAGCGGCAGCGAGACUAGUAGCAAUACUAGUUGUCGGCGAGCGGCGGACGGGUGAGUAACACGUAGGAAUCUGCCCUUAAGCGGGGGAUAACCAAGGGAAACUUUGGCUAAUACCGCAUAAUCUCGAGAGAGCAAAGCUGCCCGCAAGGGUGGCACUUGAGGAGGAGCCUGCGUCCGAUUAGCUAGUUGGUGGGGUAAUGGCCUACCAAGGCGAUGAUCGGUAACUGGUCUGAGAGGACGACCAGUAACACGGGGAAUGAGACACGGCCCAGACUCCUACGGGAGGCAGCAGUGGGGAAUAUUGGACAAUGGGGGCAACCCGGAUCCAGCGAUGCCGCGUGAGUGAAGAAGGCCUUCGGGUCGUAAAGCUCUUUAGGUUGGGAAGAAGGGUAUUGGCUGAAUAAUCCAGUACUUUGACGGUACCGACAGAAUAAGCACCGGCAAACUCUGUGCCAGCCGCCGCAGUAACAC
rnacentral:rRNA from 1 species